rnacentral:rRNA from 1 species
GACGAACGCUGGCGGCGUGCUUAACACAUGCAAGUCGAACGGAAAGGCCCUGCUUGCAGGGUACUCGAGUGGCGAACGGGUGAGUAACACGUGGGUGAUCUGCCCUGCACUUCGGGAUAAGCCUGGGAAACUGGGUCUAAUACCGGAUAGGAGCCAUUUUUAGUGAGAUGGUUGGAAAGUUUUUUCGGUGUAGGAUGAGCUCGCGGCCUAUCAGCUUGUUGGUGGGGUAAUGGCCUACCAAGGCGGCGACGGGUAGCCGGCCUGAGAGGGUGGACGGCCACAUUGGGACUGAGAUACGGCCCAGACUCCUACGGGAGGCAGCAGUGGGUAAUAUUGCACAAUGGGCGCAAGCCUGAUGCAGCGACGCCGCGUGGGGGAUGACGGCCUUCGGGUUGUAAACUCCUUUCGCUAGGGACGAAGCUUUUUGUGACGGUACCUAGAGAAGAAGCACCGGCUAACUACGUG